GAUGAACGCUGACAGAAUGCUUAACACAUGCAAGUCUACUUGAUUCUACUUCGGUAGUUGAUGGUGGCGGACGGGCGAGUAACGCGUAAAGAAUCUGCCCUUUAGUUUGGGAUAACCUUUGGAAGCGAAGGCUAAUACCGGAUAUUAUGGAGACGUCGCAUGGCGACUCCAUGAAAGCUAUAUGCGCUAGAGGAGGACUUUGCGUCCCAUUAGUUAGUUGGUGAGGUAAUGGCUCACCAAGACCGCGAUGGGUAGCCGGCCUGAGAGGGUGAUCGGCCACAAGGGAACUGAGACACGGUCCUUACUCCUACGGGAGGCAGCAGUGGGGAAUAUUGGACAAUGGGCCACAAGCCUGAUCCAGCAAUUCUGUGUGCACGAUGAAGGUCUUCGGAUUGUAAAGUGCUUUCAGUAGGGAAGAAAAAAAUGACGGUACCUACAGAAGAAGCGACGGCUAAAUAUGUGCCAGCAGCCGCAGUAA
rnacentral:rRNA from 1 species